rnacentral:rRNA from 1 species
UACGUAGGGGCCAAGCGUUGUCCGGAUUUAUUGGGCGUAAAGAGCUCGUAGGCGGUUGGGUAAGUCGGGUGUGAAAACUCCAGGCUCAACUUGGAGAUGCCACCCGAUACUGCUCUGACUUGAGUUCGGUAGGGGAGUGGGGAAUUCCCGGUGUAGCAGUGAAAUGCGUAGAUAUCGGGAGGAACAUCUGUGGCGAAGGCGACACCCUGGACCAGCACUGACACUGAGGCACGAAAGCGUGGGGAGCAAACAGG